rnacentral:rRNA from 1 species
GACGAACGCUGGCGGCGUGCCUAAUACAUGCAAGUCGAGCGCAGGAAACUGACGGAACUCUUCGGAGGGAAGGCAGUGGAAUGAGCGGCGGACGGGUGAGUAACACGUAGGGAACCUGCCUCAAGGAUUGGGAUAACUCCGAGAAAUCGGAGCUAAUACCGGAUAGUUCAUCGGACCGCAUGGUCCGUUGAUGAAAGGCGCUCCGGCGUCACCUUGAGAUGGCCUUGCGGUGCAUUAGCUAGUUGGUGGGGUAACGGCCCACCAAGGCGACGAUGCAUAGCCGACCUGAGAGGGUGCUCGGGCACACUGGGACUGAGACACGGCCCAGACUCCUACGGGAGGCAGCAGUAGGGAAUCUUCCACAAUGGACGAAAGUCUGAUGGAGCAACGCCACGUGAGUGAUGAAGGUUUUCGGAUCGUAAAACUCUGUUGUAAGGGAAGAACACGUACGAGAGGGAAUGCUCGUACCUUGACGGUACCUUACGAGAAAGCCACGGCUAACUACGUGCCAGCCGCCGCCGUAA